rnacentral:lncRNA from 1 species
CAGACCCUUCAGAGCAAGCACCCUACACCCCUGGCCCAGGGUCUGUUCCUUGAUAGGGGGUGAUCUGUCUGCCCCUCACUGUUUUCUCCAAGUAGCAUCUCCAAAUGGACUGGACUCCGCAAGCAAGCACUCUGCAGUGGACCCCUUGGGUCAUCCAUUCUGAUGGAAACAGUGAGUGGAAUUAAUCCUAAGUCUGUGAAUUUGGGCAGCUCAUUGACUCUCUCAGCUUUAUCCUCACCGGCUCAAGCCUUCUCCACAGCCCAGCCACGUGAGGGAGUCGUCAGCACUGGAACCCAGGGUCCAUGGCCUCGGAGGAUCCGGACCCCCUCUGCAUUUGGGGAACUUGGCCUCCAGUCAGGGAGCCAAGAAGUCCCUGCCAAUCAAGGA